rnacentral:lncRNA from 1 species
CAAACAUGACCAAAAAAGUUUUGGGGCUGUGCAUCAUAUAUAUCAUCAGAUUGUGGAGAUUAUUCCAGCUCUCCAAACAAAAACGUUUAUUUUCACAGUAAAUUUAAUUCCUUUUUUUUUCUUUUUCUUUUUUUUUUCAAAUCAUCCAAGACUGAAGAAACAAGUGUGGAUUGUGAAAAUAGCAUGCAGCAUUUGACAUUUUAAAAUUUGUUUUCUACUAGUUCCCUACAAAGAAUAGCCUGCUCCAGUGCUGGCCUGAGAUUUGGACCACAACAAAUGCUCAGCGUGGCAAGCUUCUAGAGUCAGCAAGAGAUCCUCAAAUUAAGAUGGAGUUCCAAGGCAAAGAUUAAAUGUGUAUCACCUGGUAACAUAGGCUAAGCUGAGGAAGCCAAGUCAAACCUAUGUGAAGACCCUUCUAGAAAGCAUAAACUUGUAGUCUCAUGGAAGCCUGAUGGGCCCAAAGAAUCUGAUUACAUAAAGAGGCAGGUCUAAAAAGGAGUCAUGAGUGCGGCUUUGACCAGUGGAGUUGACUCGCUUCAAAUUUAUAGAUAAUCCAUAAAGUUCUGAAGAAAGAACCAGUCUGAACUAAAAGAAACAGAGGCUGUUGGGGAUUUGAAAAGGACUUUAGGCCUUCAAAUUUCUACAAUCAAGAAGCAGGCUGCAAAGACGGCCCAGCAAUCAAAAGAGAACAUAUUUUCCCAAGGCUUCAUCAGGAGUGGACAAUGAGGAUGAUGGAUAGUGGUGUAGCUCAUAGCAGAUGCAACCAAAGUCUGGGUAAUAAACAACUAGAGAUGCACUUCUGAAGCAUCGGGUGGAUCAACAGAUACUCCCUGUCCCAAAGUAUGGCAUUAUUCACUCACCUCAGCGAUGGUCUGCCCAGUAAUAUUUCAUCUUUAGAAACUUUUGGAGACCUUCCCUUCCUGAAUGAAUCAUUCUCAUUUUUAAUCAUACAAAUAGAUAAGAAACCAUGUUGCAAAAGUCGUAUUAUACAAUUUCACCAUUGAUAUACAACAAAUAUGCACUACGUUUCUGUUUUCUUUCACCAAAAAUAAAAAUAAUUAACCAUGAAUGUAACUUAUUAGU